GUCGCCCAGGCUGGAGUGCAGUGGCACGAUCUCGACUCAUUGCAAGCUCCGCCUCCCGGGUUCACGCCAUUCUACUGCCUCAGCCUCCCGAGUAGCUGGGACUACAGGCGCCCGCCACCACGCCCGGCCAAUUUUUUGUAUUUUUAGUAGAGACGGGGUUUCACUGUGUUAGCCAGGAUGGUCUCAAUCUCCUGCCCUCGUGAUCCGCCCGCCUCGGCCUCCGAAAGUGCUGGGAUUACAAGCGUGAGCCACCUCACCUGGCCUCUUGCCUCCUUUUAAUAAGGCUAUAAGUGACUUCAUUUAGGGUCCACUCUGAUAAUCCAAAACCUGAGAAUAAAACCUCAGGCACAGAGAUAGUGUGCAAAUUACAUUUGCCUGCAUCAAGCCUAAAGACACAGAUUUCAGCAAGGAGGGAGCACCUUGGAUAAGGGAAGUUUUCAGGGUUUCCUUAUGGGAGAUAGGUUCAAGGUGGUAGCAGCAAUGGUUAGGGAGUCCGGGGAAGAAUACCCCAGAUCAUAGGAAAUGCCAGACCAAGGGCAGUUUCAACCUCUUGUUCCACCAGGAAACUGAAAUUUUAACACAAUUAAUUUAUAUGGCUGCAAAUAUUCCCUUAGGGGAGCUAUGUCACCUAGUUACAAUGUGUAGUUAUGGGUUCAUAUUCUAGCUGUACCAUCAGUGCCAUAUUUUAGAAUCUGUCAUAGGUUAUACAAUUAAAAUACUGCAACCAGUAUGAUAAACAGUUAUCUUUUUUUUUUUUUUUUUUUUUUUUGAGAUGGAGUCUUGUUCUGCCACAUAGGCUGGAGUGCAGUGGCGAGCUCUCAGUCCACUGCAGCCUCUGCUUCCUGGUCACAAGCAAUUCUCCUGCCUCAGCCUUCCGAGUAGCUGGGAUUACAGGUGUGAGCCACCAUGCCUGGCCACAAUACUAUUUUAAAAGAGAGAAAGAAAGAAACACUUAUUUGGCAACCUUUGGAAGUAACUAGAACAUCAACUCCUUAAUCUAAAAAUUGACAACUAACAGGAAAAACAUAAGCAGUUAACCUGCUUUCUU
rnacentral:lncRNA from 1 species